UACGAAUGGGGCGAGCGUUGCUCGGAAUCACUGGGCGUAAAGCGCACGUAGGCGGACUCUUAAGUCGGUGGUGAAAUCCUGGAGCUCAACUCCAGAACUGCCUUCGAUACUGAGAGUCUUGAGUCCGGGAGAGGUGAGUGGAACUGCGAGUGUAGAGGUGAAAUUCGUAGAUAUUCGCAAGAACACCAGUGGCGAAGGCGGCUCACUGGCCCGGUACUGACGCUGAGGUGCGAAAGCGUGGGGAGCAAACAGG
rnacentral:rRNA from 1 species